rnacentral:misc_RNA from 1 species
AAGUCAGAAUUGCAGCCAAAUGAGCGCCACCAUUUCAGGACAAAUCCCCGAGGAAAUGCCUUCUGAUUUGUUGUAGAUUAAAUUAACCAUGUGAUUUAGGAGUGCGACUCUGUAUCUGAACCAGUGUGAAUGAAAUGCUAGUUGGUUUCAUUUCAUUGUUGAACAUUUUAACCCGCAGCUUCACUAUUUCAAGGAAAUAGCGAAGCUGAAAUUAAGGUGCAAGUGAUUUUAUAAUUUUUCUGCACAAACCUCUAUUAUGCAUUUGUAGUUUUUGAGUAUUUACAGUUUUAGUUUUCCUGGUGUGUAUACGAAUUUAACUGGCAGAUGAUCCUGUGGAUGUACAGUUGCGCCUCAUGUCCAUGAGGUUUGAAGUUUGAACAAACAAAAUGGUAGGAGCUUGUGUAUAAAAUGUGCUAUUGCCAUGCGCUCUUUUUCUUGCAAAAAAAAAA